rnacentral:rRNA from 1 species
UACAGAGGUCCCAAGCGUUGUUCGGAUUCACUGGGCGUAAAGGGUGCGUAGGCGGUCGGGUAAGUCUGAUGUGAAAUCUCACAGCUUAACUGUGAAACUGCAUUGGAUACUAUCCGGCUCGAGGAAUGGAGGGGAGACUGGAAUACUUGGUGUAGCAGUGAAAUGCGUAGAUAUCAAGUGGAACACCAGUGGCGAAGGCGAGCCUCUGGACAUUUCCUGACGCUGAGGCACGAAAGCCAGGGGAGCAAACGGG